AUUGAACGCUGGCGGAAUGCUUUACACAUGCAAGUCGAACGGCAGCACGGACUUCGGUCUGGUGGCGAGUGGCGAACGGGUGAGUAAUACAUCGGAACGUGCCCAGUCGUGGGGGAUAACGUAGCGAAAGCUACGCUAAUACCGCAUACGAUCUAAGGAUGAAAGCGGGGGAUCGCAAGACCUCGCGCGAUUGGAGCGGCCGAUGGCAGAUUGGGUAGUUGGUGGGGUAAAGGCUCACCAAGCCGACGAUCUGUAGCUGGUCUGAGAGGACGACCAGCCACACUGGGACUGAGACACGGCCCAGACUCCUACGGGAGGCAGCAGUGGGGAAUUUUGGACAAUGGGCGCAAGCCUGAUCCAGCCAUUCCGCGUGCAGGAUGAAGGCCCUCGGGUUGUAAACUGCUGUUGUACGGAACGAACAGGCUCUGGUUAAUACCCGGGGCUCAUGACGGUACCGUAAGAAUAAGCACCGGCUAACUACGUGCCAGCCGCCGCGGUAA
rnacentral:rRNA from 1 species